ensembl:lincRNA
AUGACUAACCUCCACCCAGACCUCUGCAUUCCAGCACGGUCUGCGAAGCUCCUGGGGAAAGGCGCGGGUAGGGAAAGACCAGGCCUUUCUGCAAGAGAGCAGUUAUGGAGGGGGAGGGGCGUCUCCAACUGUCACUUUAGGGCACUCUCCGAGCCUGCGUCCUGGGCCCGGACAAGGGACACAGGUUCAGUCACAGCGCUAGAACUGAGCAGAGUACGUUCAGAGUACGCAAUGAUUACAUUCUUGAUGCGGAAUUGUACAUUGAAUGUGUACAGUGAAAAUGAGGCCCCUCCUGGCACCCUGUGGAGGGACCCAUUAAGCACAGAUUGUUCUCAAAGUCACUUCCACGGAGCAGCAGUCCCCAUCCCCCAGCAACGCCAGCACGAGGCCCGGCUGUGUCUGAAUGAUCCUUUCUUUAUGCCAAGCACACUGGGUAGCGGUGUGCAGUGCGAGCGCCCAGCCUGUGGCCAGGAUGGGGCCAGUGUGCGGUCACGGCAGGAGCCCGAGACAGUCCAGUGCAGGUCAUGAGCUGCAGGCCAUGGUGGAGACGGGUAAGAUGGUUUCUGGGAGUUUUCAGGGACACAGGCUCGGGCAUGGGGCGGUCUGAAGCUCCCAGCCUCAUGUAGGAUUCUUGGGGCUACAGGGGACAGGUCUCAUGGGGGUGGCCUGCCCUGGAGUGAUGUCACUGCACAGGCACAAGAGCAGCGAGCUGCUGGCCUCUCAGGGAGAACUACCCUUCUGGUGGAGGCCACACCCUCGCCACAGAUCUGAGAUCAACCCAGUCCUAAAGCAGGACAGCCAGGCCUAGAGGUCAAUUGUGGAGUUUGCUUUCCAAAGCUGAGUAACGAAGACCUGUGGAGUGGCGCACAUCUGUAAUCUCAGUACUCGGAGAGGUGGAGAGGCAGGAGGGAGGCUGAGGCACAAGAACCACGCAUGUGAGACCAGGCCGGGCCACUUAGCUACUCAGUGAGACUGUGACAACAUUAAGAACAAAAAUGAAAUGGGCUGGAGAUGCAGCUCUGGGAAACGUUCCCCAGUACUGAAAAGAAACAUUUCCUGAUUUAUAAGGUGCCUCAGUCGAGCGAAUUCUGCAGUGUCCAGGGCAAGACUGGACCAGUCACCCCUAGGAACCUUCAACCUCUGGAAUCCAGGAUGCUCUGAGAUUUCAUAUUUUAAAAAUAAAACUUAAUCAAGAUCUCAAGGUUGCUUGUCCUUCUUUAUGAAGAAGUGGUGGAGCUGUGCUGUGCUGUCCUCUGUCCUCCAACAUGUAACUGUCAGCCAUGACGGACUGCCCCCAAGUGGUCCCUGAAAGCCGAAACACACGUUUCCCAGUGGCCACCAGGAGCUCUGUGCCCCGGGGACCGCGUGCUCUGCCUGUGGACAGCAGGGACGUGAGCAUCUCUCUGUCCCGCCUCUGUGACUGUGACCCUAACACUCCGCUGCCAGGAUUCCACCUUGGAAAGUGAGAGUAAGGGACGCAAACGUUCCCUUCAGCUCUAUUAGAGGCAUGAAAAAUUGGCAGCCUUCUGGAGGAGAGGCUGAGACACUGCGUCACACCACCGACUGCAAGAGGGGCGGAGACGACGGGACCACGCCCACAGUGCGUGCGUGAGGUGAGGGAGCGCUGUGGGCUGCACCCCCGCCUCAACACCAAGAUGAAGACAGGAAGGAGGAGCACCUCGGGGGAACUCCGGAUUUUGGUGGAUGACUGUGUCCUUUUGCUUAUUAUUCACUUACAUGGUGCUAAUUUCACUAUAAUAAAUGCUUCUGGUCAAAAAUUCUGCAUAAUUUAUUGAAUAAACGAGUGAAAGAUGAUUAGGAUCUAUUGAGGAUUUUCUACUGGACAAAAACCGAGAUUCAUCAGUCCCUUCUGGGAUUAUACCACUGGAGAGAAAUCGGAUUGCACUAAUGUGCAAACUGUAGAAAAGGAAAGUUGUAGGGACCUAAGGUGAGUGGUGGCCUGGACCCGCGGCACGGGGAGGGGAGGAGCCACUCGGCACAGCACUGAGGAGAGUGCUCUGGUCCUGGACGGUGGUGCCGGGUGUACAACACUGAGAAUGCACUUCCUGCCACCCAGCUGAUCGAUUUAAACCACACAAAAAUUUUAACAUUUAUUUUAAAAAAAAUCUAUUGUUUACGUAAACCCAGAAAAAGAAAGCAAAAGUAAACAUCAAAACAUGUGCAACAGUGAUGCAUGGGGAGGGCAGGGGUGGGGCAGGCGCUGGUCCCAGGGGAAGCUCGGGAGCUGACCCCUGCUGUGGCGCCACCAGGAGCCCCAGCCCUACAGCUGGCGCACAAGGGCUUCCUGGCACUGGCUCUCGCUGUGGGGCCAGAGCCGGGGAGGGAGAUGCCGGUGGAGCUGGCACGGACUCCGCAGGCGGGACUUCAGCUUGGGCUGGAGCUGGCCCUGGGGCUGUAAGAUAAGAAAAGCUCAGCAACUCUCCAUGUUUCUUCCCGGGGCAAAACCUUCCCACUGCCUGUCGGAGACAGCUCUGUGCACCAAGCCAUGCCCAGGAAGUCCUCCCAGACUCACCCCCCCCCAACUGACUGCUGAGGGUCUCAGUGUUCAGGGAUCACCCAGCACCUGGAAGCUCUGUCUGUUUUCAACCGCCCACCCCAUGGCUAUAGUCCCAUACCCUAGUCCUCCUCACCCCUGGGCUCUGCCUCAGUGAGCUCAGCCUGCUCCAGCUGGGCCAGAAGAAGCUUGGCUGUGUGGUGCACCUGGGAGUGCAGCUUCAGCAAGGAGUCAAGGAUGGAGGACAUGGACCCUGGGGAAGUUGGAUAGCAGCGGAGUGAGAGGCCUGGCCUUGCUGCCCACACUCCCUGCCCCCAGCAAGGAUGGACAUGUGGCCUCCACCAUCCGUGCAUGGUCCAGCCCCGCGGUCUCCAUAAACCCAUGGAGCAGUCCUGGCCCAGGCAGCCCUGAGCACCUGACAGAAGGCUCUGUGGGAGGGAGCCCUUCCUCGGGGGCGUCACCACGCUGCCUGCUUCAGGGCAGCUGACACACUGUCCCUCUGCCCGUCCCCACUGUCAGCUCCAUGAGGACAGAGACUGGUACCUGCCGAGUGGUUGCACUCAAGGGCACAGGGCUGCUCCUCACAUGUCAGAGAAGCGAGGGGACAGCAGGCGUCUGUCCUGCCCUCUCUUCCGGUUUCAGCUCAUGCAGCGGCAUGCUGCCCAGUGCUCUGCGCCUCCUCUGGGCUCCUCUCGAACUGUUGGGACCCACAUCUAGGGAGGCCAGGGGCAGGCUCGUCUCUGUAAUGUGGUAAUGCCUGCUCUGCUUCCAGGAUAACUGUGUGGACCCCAAAUAGCAUUGAAAGCCCAGAGGACUGUGCUUGCAUCUGCCCUGGUUGUUGGCUCAUGGUCAAGGCCCAGAGAAGUGUCUGCACAUAGUAUGUCUUCAUGUUCCUGGAUUAAUGUUCCCACUGGCACUUCCAUGACGUGUAAGUGGCGUGGGGCCUUUGUAUUCACCAAGGAUUCCUGCCUGGGACCACCCUGAAGCCCACAGACUGACUCUGCAAUCUCCUGGACAAUGACCAGAACAACUUUCCCCAGGUGCAGGGGUGAGUGUGGGGGAGGCAAAGCUUGCCAGUGGGGAUGGAAGAUCAUCUGUGAGAAUCAGCAGGGCCACUGCAGCUGGUCUUCCACGGGGCCAAGGCCAGGGUGGAGUCUUAUGAGACCCCAUUCCAUCCUACAGCCAUGAAGUGCGCUUGAUUUACUCGACAGAGGCCGAGAGGGGCUUGCACCUUCCAAAGACUUGGAGCCUUAGGUGGCGUCACACACUGCGCUGCUGAGCGCAGAGCUCACCUUCCCACCAUGAGGUCCUGUGAGGAGGAAGUGUUGGCCCUGGAGCCCUCUGGGAAGCAGGGCCUGCUGACGGGGCCGCUGUCCAGGGAAGCCUGCUCCGGGAGCUCCGUCAGGGUGCGCUGUGUGUCUGCACCUGCCAGCUCCGUCCUCUCUGUGCAGACCUCUGCCGGGCUCUCGGCUGCCUGGUUUCCAAUCUGUGGUGGGACAGUGGGGAGACAUGGGGUUGGUGUAACACCCGUGACUUACCAGGAGGGCUUGAGGACUAAGCUACCCUUGUAGAGCUCAUUUAGCCCAGGCGUCCCAGACAUCUGACAGGUGCCACUUGGACACCUAGGCCAGGAGUUACAAUGAGGUAAAUUGUAAAUAACGAGUGAAGUCAAGGAACAUAGUGUCUUCGUCCCUCUUUUGGUACCCCCAGCCCCGGCAACAUGUGGACAGUGAGCCUGCCCCUCCCGAGGUGGAGGCUGAGCACAGCGGAUGUGGAUGUUGAAGACGUGAGGUGCACAGUCCUCUGGGAGCUGCACACUGGACCUGCUGUUUCCCAAGCCCUGGAGGGAGGUGAUGAACAUGUUAUCUGUCCCCGAGGGUCCUCUCUGUCCUCCUAUGGCCCUCAGCUCACACACACACCCUGUGCCCUAGCUGGCAUCUGUUGCAACUGGGAGUCCAGUGUGUGUCACAGGCACACAGCACACAGGCCCUGUGACAAGCUCCAGCCCGAUGCCCUGGGAGCCGCUCGGUUGGGACAGAGCCCAGCAGCUGGCACGAAGCAUGAGGCUCUGCCUGACCACAGUUUGUGCUGCUUUUGCCUCAGAGGAGCCUGUGCUGCUGACACUCAAACAGCUCCGUCACUGGCUUCUACCUCGGGAGGCCAGGAGAUGGCUCUGGGCUGUGGAUAAUCUCUGGGCACUGCCCUGCUCCUCCUGCAGCCCUGUCAUGGGUGGGAAUGUGACAGGACCCCAGGCCCACAGCCUCCCAGCACCUGCUCCUGCCCAGGAGGAACUUUGCUAGGACCCUGACUUCCCCCCAACAACACACAUAGUGAGGACGGGAGUUGGGCAGGGGACUCACAGUGCCGACCGAGCCUAAGUGGACCUGUCCUGGGCUUGGUGGCUCCAAGUGGCUCCUGUCCAGGCCCAGGGAGACCCGCUGUGGGCUCCCUCUUAUCUCUGAGCCCGUGGUCGCUGGGUCUGGGGAGACCCGCGCUGUGCUGCCCACGGCAGUUGGGCGGUUCCUGCCCCGUGGCCCGAAGAGCCUGGGCCGAGCGAUCCACCUUCGCACUCGUGCCCACGUGCUCUCCCUGCGUGGGGUCCUGCGCCUUCCACCUUGAGGCCUGGGAAAGCAGCACAGCAUGUUCUCCCCUGACUGUCUACAGCCAAGUGAUUAGGGAGGCAGCCACCGCUAGACUGUGCUGCCCAGUCACCGCAGGGUUCCAAGUUCUGUUUGGACCUAUCGCCAAGGAAGUGAGGUCACGUGCUGGGCCCACAGGCUGAGCUCCCCCUCUGAUGAGAAGACCCUACAGCCCCUUUCUCUCCAUAGUGAACAAUCUGUGUGCUCCUGAGACACAGCAAUGAAAACAUAGGCAGCUGCCUGUGAUGUCAGAGUCUGAUGAAUUU